rnacentral:rRNA from 1 species
UUUAAGGCCCUGCCCUUUGUACACACCGCCCGUCGCUACUACCGAUUGAAUGGCUCAGUGAGGCCUUCGGACUGGCCCAGGGAGGUUGGAAACGACCGCCCAGGGCCGGAAAGUUGUUCAAACUCGGUCAUUUAGAGGAAGUAAAAGUCGUAACAAGGUUUCCGUAGGUGAACCUGCGGAAGGAUCAUUA